UAGGUGAACGAGAACACGGCGCCCUCCGGCGUCGGCUUCGCAGCCACCGGCGGCACCUUGUUGAUCAGGUUGUGCAGAUCGGGAACGGGAUAGUUCCAGGUGAAGAUCGAGUUCGCCCAGGUCUUGAACGACCCCGUGCCCCAGAUCAGCAUCACGAUGCAGACGAUGAUCCACGGCAGCAUCGCGCUCCAGAGCNCCUGCGUCAACGGUGUCGUAUCCAGCGGCUUGUUCGGCGCCAUCGUUGCGGCCGAUUCGUC
rnacentral:misc_RNA from 1 species